rnacentral:rRNA from 1 species
AUUGAACGCUGGCGGCAGGCUUAACACAUGCAAGUCGAGCGGGGUGAUGGUGCUUGCACUAUCACUUAGCGGCGGACGGGUGAGUAAUGCUUAGGAAUCUGCCUAUUAGUGGGGGACAACAUCUCGAAAGGGAUGCUAAUACCGCAUACGUCCUACGGGAGAAAGCAGGGGAUCUUCGGACAUUGUGCUAAUUGAUGAGCCUAAGUCGGAUUAGCUAGUUGGGGGGGUAAAGGCCUACCAAGGCGACGAUCUGUAGCGGGUCUGAGAGGAUGAUCCGCCACACUGGGACUGAGACACGGCCCAGACUCCUACGGGAGGCAGCAGUGGGGAAUAUUGGACAAUGGGGGGAACCCUGAUCCAGCCAUGCCGCGUGUGUGAAGAAGGCCUUAUGGUUGUAAAGCACUUUAAGCGAGGAGGAGGCUCUUUUGGUUAAUACCCAAGAUGAGUGGACGUUACUCGCAGAAUAAGCACCGGCUAACUCUGUGCCAGCCGCCGCAGUAA